AGCUUUGGGCAGUGGCAGUAUCGUAGCCAAUGAGGUUUAUCCAAGGCAUGAUUAUUGAUAAUUGUAAACACAGGGCCACACCUAGCUACAAGGGAGGCUGGCAAGUCCAGUUCCAGGCUGGA
rnacentral:snRNA from 1 species